GAUGCAAAGGAAGAGCUCUACUCUUUGGUUACUGUAACUGAGAUCCCACCAGAGGGAUUGAAGGGACUUGGCACCAAGAUCAUUGAGGAUGAAGAUUAAACUAUCAGUAGUCAAGAACAAUAGACACAUUAUUUAUUCGAGAAUUAUCAAUUUUGUUUCGAAACUUUAAUUUGUUCCUGGACUAAUAUGGUCUACUUCGCAAUCCUGAUUGUUAGAUUUGUGUGCCUUGUGCUUACGAGAUCCAAUUAUCUGCUGUUUAAGUAUAUGUUUGUGAUUUCUAGAUUUCGUACUGUGAUUUUUGUUGUGCUUUAUAUAAUAGUAGUGUCU
rnacentral:misc_RNA from 1 species